rnacentral:rRNA from 1 species
UACGUAGGGUGCAAGCGUUGUCCGGAAUUAUUGGGCGUAAAGGGCGCGUAGGCGGCUUGAUAAGCGUGCGGUGAAAGCCCGGGGCUCAACCCCGGGUCGGCCGUGCGAACUGUCGAGCUGGAGCACUGUAGAGGCAGGUGGAAUUCCGGGUGUAGCGGUGGAAUGCGUAGAGAUCCGGAAGAACACCGGUGGCGAAGGCGGCCUGCUGGGCAGUGGCUGACGCUGAGGCGCGACAGCGUGGGGAGCAAACAGG